rnacentral:rRNA from 1 species
UACAGAGGUCCCAAGCGUUUGUUCGGAUUCACUGGGCGUAAAGGGUGCGUAGGCGGUCGGGUAAGUCUGACGUGAAAUCUCCAAGCCUAACUUGGAAACUGCGUUGGAUACUAUCCGGCUUUGAGGAAUGGAGGGGAGACUGGAAUACUUGGUGUAGCAGUGAAAUGCGUAGAUAUCAAGUGGAACACCAGUGGCGAAGGCGAGUCUCUGGACAUUUCCUGACGCUGAGGCACGAAAGCCAGGGGAGCAAACGGG